rnacentral:rRNA from 1 species
GACGAACGCUGGCGGCGUGCUUAACACAUGCAAGUCGAACGGUGAAGCGCCUUCCUUUUUGGUGGGUGUGGAUGAGUGGCGAACUGGUGAGUAACACGUGAGUAACCUGCCCCCUUCUUCUGGAUAACCGCAUGAAAGUGUGGCUAAUACGGGAUAUUCUGGGUCUGUCGCAUGAUUGGUCUGGGAAAGAUAUUGUUUCGGUGGGGGAUGGGCUCGCGGCCUAUCAGCUUGUUGGUGGGGUGAUGGCUUACCAAGGCGGUGACGGGUAGCCGGCCUGAGAGGGUGGACGGUCACACUGGGACUGAGACACGGCCCAGACUACGACGGGAGGCAGCAGGGGGGAAUAGUGCACAAUGGGAGCAAGGCUGAUGCAGCGACGCCGCGGGAGGGAUGGAGGCCUUCGGGUUGUGAACCUCUUUCGCCAGUGAAGCAGGCCUGCCUCGUUUGUGGGUGGGUUGACGGUAGCUGGAUAAGAAGCGCCGGCUAACUACGUG